GCCCUGUUAGCUCAGUGGCAGAGCACUGGUCUCGUAAACCAGGGGUCGGGAGUUCGAUCCUCGUACAGGGCU
rnacentral:tRNA from 1 species